rnacentral:rRNA from 1 species
CACGUAGGGCGCAAGCGUUGUCCGGAAUUAUUGGGCGUAAAGAGCCCGUAGGCGGUCUGUUGCGUCUGCUGUGAAAACCCGGGGCUUAACCCCUGGCUUGCAGUGGAUACGGACAGACUAGAGGUAGGUAGGGGAGAAUGGAAUUCCCGGUGUAGCGGUGAAAUGCGCAGAUAUCGGGAGGAACACCGGUGGCGAAGGCGGUUCUCUGGGCCUUACCUGACGCUGAGGAGCGAAAGCGUGGGGAGCGAACAGG